rnacentral:rRNA from 1 species
UCCGGUUGAUCCUGGCGGAGGCCAUUGCUAUUGGGAUCCGAUUUAGCCAUGCUAGUUGUACGAGUUCAGACUCGUAGCGAAUAGCUCAGUAACACGUGGCCAAACUACCCUUCGGACCGUGACACCCUCGGGAAACUGAGGUUAAUCGCGGAUACCGCACUCACACUGGAAUGUCGAGUGUGGCAAACGCUCCGGCGCCGAAGGAUGUGGCUGCGGCCGAUUAGGUAGACGGUGGGGUAACGGCCCACCGUGCCGAUAAUCGGUACGGGUCAUGAGAGUGAGAACCCGGAGACGGAAUCUGAGACAAGAUUCCGGGCCCUACGGGGCGCAGCAGGCGCGAAACCUUUACACUGCACGCCAGUGCGAUAAGGGGAUCCCGAGUGCGCAGGCAUAGAGCCUGCGCUUUUCCGAACCGUAGGGACGUUCGGGAACAAGGGCUGGGCAAGACCGGUGCCAGCCGCCGCGGUAAUACCGGCAGCCCGAGUGAUGGCCGAUCUUAUUGGGCCUAAAGCGUCCGUAGCUGGCCGCACAAGUCCAUCGGGAAAUCCACCCGCUCAACGGGUGGCCGUCCGGUGGAAACUGUGCGGCUUGGGACCGGAAGGCGCGACGGGUACGUCCGGGGUAGGAGUG